CUCCCCCACAAAACUCACGCCCUCUCUACACUUUCUCUCCCUCUCAUUUUUUUUUCUCUCACUACCACCAUUGAAGAUCAUUUCCAAGCUUCUAAGAUCAAUUCUACACCAAAGAUCUUCACUAAAAUCUAGUCUAAACAUCAUUUCCCUUUAAUCAAGAGCAAGGAUUGAAGGAGUUCCAAGAGUUGAGUCAAGAAAGUCUCUACUUUUAUUGAAGUUUUUGACCCAUGGAUUAUCUUCGAUGUUAUGAUGUCAGAAGAUACGAGCAGAGGACGAAACUGAGUUCGCCUCGAGUGCUACGAGAGUAAGCUAAGAUCUUCAGGUGGGCAUUACUUUUACUAUACGUAUAUAGAGAUCCCAUGCGUGUCGUAGGCCUCUUAUACGAUUAUUUACAUGAGAUUAUUUAACUGUUAAUUUCAGUUUUAUAUUAUGCUCAAAUGAUGAAUGACUCUUAUUAAAUGAAAUGUUUAUGAAAUGAUUGUCUGCCAAAAAUGUUUAUGUUUUACAUAUGUAUCCUAUCUGUGUACACUCAUGGAAACCGCGAGUCGCUUGCGACCGGUCUUGGCAUCUGUGGAAAGAGGCCUCCUUCUUGGCGCGUGACAGAAAGGACAUAUAUGGAUCAUAUGAAGGAAAAUGAUCGGCCGGUCGACUUUAUGAAAAUGAAAGAAAAGUUUUAGUUGAGCAACUGAUGGAAUGGAAUGGUGUUGAGCGGGUAGUCCUUUGUCAUUUCAAGAAAUGUAACCUUGAGUAUACUACAUCUUCAUAUGUAUAUCUCACACGUUUUCCGCUGCGAAACAGUUUGAUUAUGGUAACUCUAUGUUAUGAAGUCAAUGUAUUCGUUUUUUUUUGGGAUAAUCCCCCUCGAUUAGGUCACCCUUAUGUGAAUGUUUUGUAAGUAUUUGAAUGAUCAAAUAUGAUCCUAGUACUUUCUUUUAAUGUCAUGUUUUCUCAAAA